UUUAGGUUGUUGUGGCGGCCGUGGAUUGGAACCCUACGCAUCUUCUUCCUCAUCAUCGAUCCUUCCCCAUUUCUCAUCUCCGCCUUUGAGCUGAAUUCUUUUCUUUUGCUUUCUCGUUUUAUCUUGUUUAUUUCCUCGGGGUUUUUGAUCUCUUUAUUCUCUUCGUGAUUCGUAGUUGGGUCUCCUUUGGUAGUGCGAUCCGACUGUUCGUCGUAUUGAAUGAUCUGCAGGAUGGUGUGUAUCGGUGUUAUGUUAGUGCUUCCAUGCAUUUCUUGCCGAAAGUGUUUCCUGCUAAAGCAAUCUUGCGGAAAAUGGGCAGUUGGGAUGAACCCUAACCAUCCACUGGUUGUCUCGACAAUCAUUUUCCUCACAUUUCUAUCAAAAGUCUGCAUCCUCAUCGACUCGGUUUUUCUUUUCGUUUUUGGCUCUGCAUGCUAAGAAAUGUCUGAUACCAGUUGUCGCUGAUUUGAGUUGAAUUUGUGCGAGUCAUAUGGCAAAGCCAUGUCUGCCCGCAAGGAUCAGUACAAGUUGCAACCCAUUGCUGGGUUGUGCGGGUCUGCAAGACAGAAAACAGUUAGUGAUGGCAAAAUGCUGUCAUUGCAAUGCAGAGACUCGUAAUGAGCCGAACAAGCAAAGAAAAUCAACAACUUUGUUGGCACAAAAGAGAUAUUUUUCACAUAGGGGUUCGUUGAGAUGAUUGUUGGGAUGGUAUAGAUUAGUCUCUAAUUUGCUGUUGUUAUGGUUUUGUUGUUUUGACAAUUCAUCGUCAAAAGGAAAAAGAGAAACAACUCGAGACAUUUUCAUUCUUAUAUAACAUGAUAUCUAGAUUCUAACAAAGAAGUGCACUAGAUACUAGCAAUGGAUGCACAAUGCACCAUUGAGUGAGAUCAAAUGGUCAACAUGUUCAACCAUCCUAGUAAAAUAAUAGGAGCUGUUACAAAGAUGGGUUACUGCUCUUCUAAAGUGAGAAUGGAGCUCUGUAGCUUUAACAAUAUUCUGAUGCUACUAUGCAGGACAUGUAUCGGCACAUUGCUGUUAUGAUGUGCUAGUGUUGCUGAGUGUUCCUGCUAUAGUAAUUGUAAAGGAGAAUAGACAAUUGGGUUCAACUACUCCAAUGGGAACGUUUAGUACCAUUUUUCUUUUCAUUGGUUUGUCAUUGGUUAUAGAGUAAUUAAAAGCACAUUAAGGUUUGAGGCUUUCAUAAAGGGGUGGCACUUUAUCAACCAUGUUUAUGAUCUCUUUAUUCUCUUGGUGAGACGUCAGUUGGGUUUCCUUUGGAUGUAUGAUCCCAGUGUUUGAUUUAUUGAAUGAUCUGCAGGAUUGGUGUCGUGUUGAUGAAACCAUGCAUGUCUUGCUGAAAAUGUUUCCUGCUAAAGCAAUCAUGUGGAAAAUGGGCAGUUGGAAUGAACCCUAAUCAUCCACUAGGUAUCUCGACAAUCAUUUUCGUUGGUUCAUUUUUUCCUUUUUGGCUCUGCAUGCUUGGUAAUCUUCUGAUACCUGUUGUCACUGGAGUUAGGUUGAAUUUGCCCCAGAGUCAUAUGGGAAACCGAUGUCUGCUUGCAAGAAUUGGUGCAAGUUGCAACCUCUUGCUAGCUUGUGCAGAUCUGCAAGAAGAAAACAGGUUGUGAUGGCAAAAUGUCCCAUUGCAACUUUGUUAGCACAAAAGAGAUGAUUUUCAUGCAGGUGUUCAUUGAGAUGAUUUUUGGGAUAGUAAAGAUUAGUCUUUAAUUUGUUCUAGUUAUGGUUUUGUUGUUUUGGCCAUACAUUGUCAUAGAAAAUAGAAAACAAAUUGAAACAUUUUUAUUUCUUUUAUAGCACGGUAUCUAGACUCUAACAAAGAAGGGCCAUAAAUUGUUGCACAAAGCACUAUUAAGAGGGAUCAAACCCAUGACAUGUUCAACUGUCCUAGUAAACGAAUAGCUGCUGUUACAAAGAAGGGUUACUGCCCUUCUGAAGUGACAUUGGAACUCAGUAACCUAACCAAUAUUCUGAUGCUACUGCCCUGGACAUAUAUCGGCACACUGCUGUGAUAAUGUGCUACUGUCGCCAAGUGCUUCUGCCAUAGGAAUAAUGAAGGAGAAUGGGCAAUUGGGUUCAGCUAUUCCAAUGGGAAACCUUGUUGCCAUUUUGUUUUACAUUAUUUUGUCAUUAGGUACAGAGUAAUCACAGCAAGCACCAUAUAAUGCUAUGAUUAUAUGUUUUUGAUAAAAGUCAUCAGAUGGACUGGGGGGCAAAUUAUCAUCCACUUUAUAGAUGAGAUGUUGUUUCAUUGCUCCCCUCUAGUUUUUUAAUUAUUUUCACUUUCCAUCUGCAUUUGAUUGGUUUACUUGUGCUUGAUGUUUCAUUCUGUUUUUUUUCUUUAUUUUGUUUAUAUUUGCUCUAUUUUAAUUAUGCCUUUUCUUUUUCUUAGUUUUUGUUGUUAUAUUAUUGUUAUUAUGCUUUUUUUGUUUUUGUCAUUGCAUUGGCAGUAGUCUCUUCUUUCUUCCAACAUGUUCAUGUUCAUACAUUUUCCACAUAGUGGGAUGCUCUACCAUUUGAGCUAUAAAUCAAAACUGUCAUCUAAAUUGCUUUCGUUUAUCAAAUACUAUGCCAGUAAUGUUUUACAAUUUAAUUUUAGUUUUUAUAUUCUUAUUUAUUGUCAUCCAUAAGCUUCUUGGUCAAAAGAGGUGGCCCCUGCCCCUUUGCCUCUUGUCUUGUGCCUAGGCUCGGCUCCAAGAAUGAAUAGUGAAGAAACCAGACUAAAAUGGUGACUAUUCAUUGAGUAUAAUAAGCAGAGACAUGAUUGGAGGAAUCAAAAUAGCAAUGGGAUGCAACAUUAUCCCAGGAGUGGGUCAGUCCUCUGGUUUUGGCCUGUUAGCUAAAACAUCGUCAUCAAAAUUUUGAGUUUUAAGAGUAUUCGCCACAAGCCACAUGCGUUGCAGGGUGUCCUUUCGAAUCCAGAUUUUGUCGAGACCCAGUUGUUUGGCGUGACUGAGGCCAGCAAGGAUGGCCAGACCUGCAAAAGCGGUAUUGGGAGCAAAUGAGCGAUGUACAGGACAUGGCUCAUUUCUUGAAUGUUGAAAAUGGUUUGAUCAGAUACAAGAACACCAAAUUGUGAAUAAAUUGUGUUCGGGGCAUUUUCCAAGUUAUAGUUUUGGAAAAUGGACUUGUAUAUUUCGGUAUAGCUUUUCAUGUAAACAGUGUACAAAAUUAGUACGUUUGUUA